rnacentral:rRNA from 1 species
UCUCUGGGCCGUAACUGACGCUGAGGAGCGAAAGCGUGGGGAGCGAACAGGAUUAGAUACCCUGGUAGUCCACGCCGUAAACGUUGGGCGCUAGAUGUAGGGACCUUUCCACGGUUUCUGUGUCGUAGCUAACGCAUUAAGCGCCCCGCCUGGGGAGUACGGCCGCAAGGCUAAAACUCAAAGGAAUUGACGGGGGCCCGCACAAGCGGCGGAGCAUGCGGAUUAAUUCGAUGCAACGCGAAGAACCUUACCAAGGCUUGACAUACACCGGAAACGGCCAGAGAUGGUCGCCCCCUUGUGGUCGGUGUACAGGUGGUGCAUGGUUGUCGUCAGCUCGUGUCGUGAGAUGUUGGGUUAAGUCCCGCAACGAGCGCAACCCUCGUUCUAUGUUGCCAGCGCGUUAUGGCGGGGACUCAUAGGAGACUGCCGGGGUCAACUCGGAGGAAGGUGGGGAUGACGUCAAAUCAUCAUGCCCCUUAUGUCUUGGGCUUCACGCAUGCUACAAUGGCCGGUACAAAGGGCUGCGAUACCGUAAGGUGGAGCGAAUCCCAAAAAGCCGGUCUCAGUUCGGAUUGAGGUCUGCAACUCGACCUCAUGAAGUCGGAGUCGCUAGUAAUCGCAGAUCAGCAACGCUGCGGUGAAUACGUUCCCGGGCCUUGUACACACCGCCCGUCAAGUCAUGAAAGUCGGUAACACCCGAAGCCGGUGG